GGUUCGAUCCUGGCUCAGAUUGAACGCUGGCGGGAUGCUUUACACAUGCAAGUCGAACGGCAGCACGGACUUCGGUCUGGUGGCGAGUGGCGAACGGGUGAGUAAUGUAUCGGAACGUGCCUAGUAGCGGGGGAUAACUACGCGAAAGCGUAGCUAAUACCGCAUACGCCCUUCGGGGGAAAGCGGGGACCUUCGGGCCUCGCACUCAUUAGAGCGGCCGAUAUCGGAUUAGCUAGUUGGUGGGGUAACGGCUCACCAAGGGCGACGAUCCGUAGCUGGUUUGAGAGGACGACCAGCCACACCGGGACUGGAGACACGGCCCAGACUCCUACGGGAGGCAGCAGUGGGGAAUUUUGGACAAUGGGGGAAACCCUGAUCCAGCCAUCCCGCGUGUGCGAUGAAGGCCUUCGGGUUGUAAAGCACUUUUGGCAGGGAAAGAAACGGCACGGGAUAAUACCCCGUGCAACUGACGGUACCUGCAGAAUAAGCACCGGCUAACUACGCCAGCAGCCGCGGUAAUACGUAGGUGCAAGCGUUAAUCGGAAUUACUGGGCGUAAAGCGUGCGCAGGCGGUUCGGAAAGAAAGAUGUGAAAUCCCAGAGCUUAACUUUGGAACUGCAUUUUUAACUACCGAGCUAGGAGUGUGUCAGAGGGAGGUGGAAUUCCGCGUGUAGCAGUGAAAUGCGUAGAUAUGCGGAGGAACACCGAUGGCGAAGGCAGCCUCCUGGGAUAACACUGACGCUCAUGCACGAAAGCGUGGGGAGCAAACAGGAUUAGACUUCUGGUAGUCCACGCCCUAAACGAUGUCAACUAGCUGUUGGGGCCUCGCCUUGCAGCGCAGCUAACGCGUGAAGCGACCGCCUGGGGAGUACGUCGUGCAGAUUAAACUCAAAAGGAAUUGACGGACUCGCACAAGCGGUGGAUGAUGUGGAUUAAUUCGAUGCAACGCGAAAACCUUUACCUUACCCCGACAGAUGUCUGGAAUCCCGAAGAGAUUUGGGAGUGCUCGCAAGAGAACCGGAACACAGGUGUCGCAUGGCUGUCGCUCAGGUCGUGAGAUGUUGCUGUCUCCGCAACGAGCGCAACCCCUUGUCAUUAGUUACACAUAAGCACACCGACGAGACUGCCGGUGACAAACCGGAGGAAGGUGGGGCGAUGACGUCAAGUCCUUUAUUCUUAUGGGUAGGGCUUGCCACGUCAUACAAUGGUCGGGAGCAGAGGGCUGCCAACCCGCGAGGGGAGCCAAUCCCAGAAACCCGAUCAGUCCGGAUCGCAGUCUGCAACUCUUGACUGCGUGGUUUGAAUCAUAGUAAUCGCGGAUCAGCAUACCGUGAAUACGUUCCCGUGGGCUUCGGUACACACCGCCUGUCACACCAUGGGAGUGGGUUUACCAGAAUAGUUAGUCGCCAACUGUAAGGGAGGGCGAUUACUACUUGCAGGAUUCAUGACUAAAGUGGGGCGUCAGGCACGAAACCCGUAAGGAAUUGGAUGCUCCCAGGAGCAGCCACAUGUAACCAACCAGUUGGUC
rnacentral:rRNA from 1 species